UAACACUGAUGUACUUGCGCCGAUGCGUCGG
rnacentral:sRNA from 1 species